rnacentral:rRNA from 1 species
AGCUAACGUUGGCGGCGUGCCUAACACAUGCAAGUCGAACGCGCCGGAGCAAUCCGGUGAGUGGCGAACGGGUGAGUAACACGUGGGUCAUCUCCCCUCGAGUGAGGAAUAAGCCACCGAAAGGUGGUCUAAUACUGCAUAACGCCCCGAGGCAUAAGCUUCGUGGCCAAAGCCGUAAGGCGCUUGAGGAUGAGCCUGCGUCCUAUUAGCUAGUUGGUAGGGUAAUUGCCUACCAAGGCGAAGAUGGGUAGCCGGCCUGAGAGGGUGAACGGCCACACUGGGACUGAGAAACGGCCCAGACUCCUACGGGAGGCAGCAGUGAGGAAUUUUGCGCAAUGGGGGAAACCCUGACGCAGCGACGCCGCGUGGAGGAUGAAGGCCUUCGGGUCGUAAACUCUUGUCAGAGGUGAAGAAUGCCCGCAAGGGCUUGACGGUAACCUCAAAGGAAGCCCCGGCUAACUACGUGCCAGCCGCCGCCGUAACAC